rnacentral:rRNA from 1 species
AACUUAAGCAUAUCAAUAAGCGGAGGAAAAGAAACUAACAAGGAUUCCCCUAGUAACUGCGAGUGAAGCGGGAAAAGCUCAAAUUUAAAAUCUGGCGGUAUUGGCCGUCCGAGUUGUAGUCUGGAGAAGUGCUUUCCGUGCUGGACCGUGUACAAGUCUCUUGGAACAGAGCGUCAUAGAGGGUGAGAAUCCCGUCUUUGACACGGACUACCAGUGCUUUGUGAUGCGCUCUCAAAGAGUCGAGUUGUUUGGGAAUGCAGCUCAAAAUGGGUGGUAAAUUCCAUCUAAAGCUAAAUAUUGGCGAGAGACCGAUAGCGAACAAGUACCGUGAGGGAAAGAUGAAAAGCACUUUGGAAAGAGAGUUAAACAGUACGUGAAAUUGCUGAAAGGGAAACGCUUGAAGUCAGUCGCGUUGUUCAGAACUCAGCCUUGCUUCUGCUUGGUGCACUUUCUGAAUGACGGGCCAGCAUCAAUUUUGAUUGUCGGAUAAGGAUUGGGGGAAUGUGACACCUUCGGGUGUGUUAUAGCCUUCAGUCGCAUACGGCGGUUGGGAUUGAGGUACGCAGCGCGCCGCAAGGCAGGGGUUCGCCCACUUUCGCGCUUAGGAUGCUGGCAUAAUGGCUUUAAACGACCCGUCUUGAAACACGGACCAAGGAGUCUAACAUACCUGCGAGUGUUUGGGUGGAAAACCCGAGCGCGUAAUGAAAGUAAAAGUUGAGACCUCUGUCGUGGAGGGCAUUGACGCCCGGACCUGACGUUCUCUGACGGCUCCGCGGUAGAGCAUGUAUGUUGGGACCCGAAAGAUGGUGAACUAUGCCUGAAUAGGGUGAAGCCAGAGGAAACUCUGGUGGAGGCUCGUAGCGAUUCUGACGUGCAAAUCGAUCGUCAAAUUUGGGUAUAGGGGCGAAAGACUAAUCGAACCAUCUAGUAGCUGGUUCCUGCC